rnacentral:lncRNA from 1 species
CACCUCCCUCUCUCUCUCUGUAGCUAGAGGGCAGUUCCACGGGAACAGAAUUACACUUUGACUUUCAAAUAUAUUCCAAACAAAAAACAUUAAUGGCAAAGAUGAACAAACCAUACAACUCUCUGCACACCCUCUCCCCCCUCUCCAUCUCAAACCAUACAACUCUCUGCACACCCUCUCCCCCCUCUCCAUCUCAAACCAUACAACUCUAUGCACAAGGACUACUUUGAACAAUUUACACAAUUUACAAGAUUACAGUACAGUAGAGUAGACUCACCUUCUCCCUCUCUCCCUCCCUCUCUCUCUCCCCAUUCCCCCUCUCUCUCCCUCUCUCUCUCCCUCUCCUCUCACCCCGCCCUCUCUCUCUCCCUCUCCCUCUCACCCCGCCCUCUCUCUCCCUCUCUCCCCCCUCUCCCUAUCUCUCCCUCUCGCUCUCUCGCACCCCGCCCUCUCUCUCCAUCUCUCCCCCCUCUCCCUCUCUCCCCCCUCUCCCUAUCUCUCCCUCUCCCUAUCUCUCAGUAGCUACAGUAACAGUUUACUGCACCUUACCCCCCUCUCCACUCUAACAGUAAUCAGGUAUUUCAGAGGUCCUGCUAGGAGAAGAGAGAGGAGCAGUAAUCAGGUAUUUCAGAGGUCCUGCCAGGAGAAGAGAGAGGAGCAGUAAUCAGGUAUUUCAGAGGUCCUGCUAGGAGAAGAGAGAGGAGCAGUAAUCAGGUAUUUCAGAGGUCCUGCUAGGAGAAGAGAGAGGAGCAGUAAUCAGGUAUUUCAGAGGUCCUGCUAGGAGAAGAGAGAGGAGCAGUAAUCAGGUAUUUCAGACUCGGCCUCAGGCUGGAACGUGUCCAGCUCCAUCAGAGGAUUCAGUCUCACCCUUCUCUCUGGAACAGACUUCUCUCCCUCCUCUCCUCUCUCCUCUCUCCUCCCUCCUCUCCUCUCCUCUCCCCACUUCCCUUCUCCUCUCCCCUGUCAGCCUAUCCCUCGCCUCUCCUCCCUCCUCUCCUCUCUCCUCUCUCCUCCCACCUCUCUCCUCUCUCCCCACUUCCCUUCUCCUCUCCCCUGUCAGCCUAUCCCCAGCCAUUGAGUAGUUCCUGGAACACCCAUUCGCAGGCCUCUCCUCUCCUCUCCUCUCCUCUCCUCUCUGUUCAACAGAGGGAGAUUAGUCAGGGUUAUGGAGGAGUGCUGGCUGGGUAAUGGCCAUUUCUGUUGUGGUCAGUUACCAUGGUGAGGAGCUUAAGAAGGUAGAGGAAGAGCAUGGGAGUAGAAUCAGCUCUCUCUCUCUCUCUCUCUCUCUCUCUCUCUCUCUCUCUCUCUCUCUCUCUCUCUCUUCCCCUCUCUCUCUCUCUCUCUCUCUCUCUCUCUCUCUCUCUCUCUCUCUCUCUCUCUCUCU